rnacentral:lncRNA from 1 species
UUACGUACGCUAUGGAUUCUUCCCUGAGAUGGUGGCAGAGAGGAAGGGAAGUGGUUCUUGAAAGUGUGGGCAGAACACUGGGGUGAGUCAGAAAACAGCAGCCAGCCUGCAACAGGCUGGAGACCAUCCAGCCUCACGCUCUCCUUGGCUCCCUUUCUUUUUGAUUUCCUCUCUUAUUGUGACUUUCAAAUAAAAUCUUAUAGGGAAACCCAACAUACUAAACUUAACAACAGAACUGCUCCAAGCUACAGAGGAUCAAGGAUCAAGUUCUGCUUCUUUGUUCUUUCCCCGAGCAUCUGCCAGGAUGGAGCCUGUGUGUUCCCUGCCUGGAUCUCUUGGCUUCAUGGAACACAGCUGCAUAGCUCUGCUGUGAUCCAACACCAACAUGUAAGACAUGGGAUGAUUGAUGCUCAGGAAGGUGGACUCGACCUGCCUCUGAGCCUGGCUCAGGUAUGA